GAUGAACGCUGGCGGCGUGCCUAAUACAUGCAAGUCGAGCGAACAGACGAGGCGCUUGCUCCUCUGACGUUAGCGGCGGACGGGUGAGUAACACGUGGAUAACCUCCCUAUAAGACUGGGAUAACUUCGGGAAACCGGAGCUAAUACCGGAUAAUAUAUUGAACAGCAUGGUUCAAUAGUGAAAGACGGUUUUGCUGUCACUUAUAGAUGGAUCCGCGCCGCAUUAGCUAGUUGGUAAGGUAACGGCUUACCAAGGCAACGAUGGGUAGCCGACCUGAGAGGGUGAUUGGCCACACGGGAAGUGAGACACGGUCCCGACUCUUACGGGAGGCAGCAGUAGGGAAUCUUCCGCAAUGGGCGAAAGGGUGACGGAGCAACGUCGCGUGAGUGAUGAAGGUCUUCGGCUCGUAAAACUCUGUUAUUAGGGAAGAACAAAUGUGUAAGUAACUAUGCACGUCUUGACGGUACCUAAUCAGAAAGCCACGGCUAACUACGUG
rnacentral:rRNA from 1 species